rnacentral:rRNA from 1 species
UACAGAGGUCCCGAGCGUUGUUCGGAUUCACUGGGCGUAAAGGGUGCGUAGGUGGUUGUUUAAGUCUGCUGUGAAAGCCCCGGGCUCAACCUGGGAAUGGCAGUGGAUACUGGACAGCUAGAGUGCGGUAGAGGUAGUGGAAUUCCCGGUGUAGCAGUGAAAUGCGUAGAGAUCGGGAGGAACACCAGUGGCGAAGGCGGCUGACCGUGGACCAGCACUGACACUGAAGCACGAAAGCGUGGGGAAGCAAACAGGG